GGGGAAUAUUGGACAAUGGACGAAAGUCUGAUCCAGCGACGCCGCGUGGAGGAAGAAGUCCUUCGGGAUGUAAACUCAUGAAGCUAACGAAUAAGACGGAAGGGGAACCUUCCGGGAGAAGGUAAUUAGUGAAAAGCCCCGGCUAACUACGUGCCAGCAGCCGCGGUAAUACGUAGGGGGCGAGCGUUGCCCGGAAUUACUGGGCGUAAAGGGAACGUAGGUGGCUCUUAAAGUCAGGUGUGAAAAUAACGAAGCUAACAGGUUAAUGCGCUUGAAACGAAAGGGCUUGAGGGCAAUAGAGGGAGAUGGAAUUACCUGUGUAGGGGUGAAAUCCGCAGAUAUAGGUAAGAAGGCCGGUGGGGAAGCCGAUCUCCUGGGUUGACUCUGACACUGAGGUUCGAAAGCUAGGGGAGCAAACC
rnacentral:rRNA from 1 species